rnacentral:rRNA from 1 species
GACGAACGCUGGCGGCGUGCUUAACACAUGCAAGUCGAACGGAAAGGCCUCUUUCGGGGGGUACUCGAGUGGCGAACGGGUGAGUAACACGUGAGUAACCUGCCCUUGACUUUGGGAUAACUUCAGGAAACUGGGGCUAAUACCGGAUAGGAGCUCCUGCUGCAUGGUGGGGGGUGGAAAGGUUCGGCGGGUGGGGGUGGACUCGCGGCUUAUCAGCUGGUUGGUGGGGUAGUGGCUUACCAAGGCUUUGACGGGGAUCCGGCCUGAGGGGGGGCCCGGCGAGAUUGGAACUGACACACGACCCGUACCCCUCCGGGAGGGAGCACGGGGGAAUGUUGUGAAAGGGGCGGAGGCCUGACCCAGCACCGCCGAGGCAGGGGUGACGGCCGUCGGGGGUGAAACAGCUGCCGCCGGGGAAGAAGGGGGAGGCACGGGAAGGAGUAAAGAAGCACCGGCUAACUCCGUC